rnacentral:lncRNA from 10 species
CAGGAUACUUUAGAGAGCCUCAAAGCUAACGUGAGACAGCAUCUUGGUUCUGCAAGGACGUGUCCUUCAACCCAACGCCCCCCACCCCCACCCAACCCCAAGCAAAUAUCCUGUUGAAGUCUCCGUGAACAAACAUCUAUCAACAGAAAAGCGAUAUGGAAUACAGGGCAUUGGCAGGCAGAGAUGUACCCUGUGGCUUGGGCUUUCUCUGCAAGGCCAGUGGGGAUGAAACCAAUAACAAAGACCCUGACUUUGCUUAAUGACCAAGACUCACUUAGAUAACAAACCGGCGCUGCUGUUGGCAGAGAGCCUUCUAGAUGCUCAGUACAGUGUGGCCUGUUAAAGUGGGAAGGAGGACUUGAAGGAAAGAGCUGUUUAAGUCAUAUUUUCUUACAGCCAAAGGAGAUUAUCUUCUCUUGGUUUGGACGGAUCAUUAUUUGUUACUGUUUAUUAUUAAUCGUGAUUUCCUGAGAACUUUUAUGUUCCGGAUACCGAAUCACAUACUUUAUAUUCACUCACUACAAUCCUGCAAAACUUUGUUGUUGAUUUUCUUUUUUUAAUAAAAGAGAAAACUCGGCCGGGCGCGGUGACUCACGCCUGUAAUCCCAGCACUUUGGGAGGCUGAGGCGGGUGGAUCACCAGGUCAAGAGUUCAAGACCAGCCUGGCCAAGAUGCUGAAACCCCGUCUCUACUAAAAAUACAAAAAAAAUAGCUGGGCGUGGUGGCGGGCGCCUGUAAUCCCAGCCACUCGGGAGGCUGAGGCAGAGAAUUGCUUGAACCCGGGAGGCAGAGGUUGCAGUGAGCCGAGAUCACGCCACUGCACUCCAGCCUGGGUGACAGAGCGAGACUCGUCUAAAAAAAAUAAAAUAAAGUAAAAUAAAAUAAAAGAGAAAACUGAGUUUCAC